GAGAAAGCCAUGUGGAGCAAGCCAGUAAACAGCACUCCUCCACAGCCUCUGCAUCAGCUCCUGCUCCAGGUUCCUGCCUCAUGUUUGGCUGAAAGUGGAUAAAGCUCUAUUGUAAGAGACCCCGUGGGGUAGAAAGCAGGAAGAGCUGUGUAGUUUGAAGCAACAAGCCAGAAAGACAUAUCCUAUGUUCCUGGCCUGUGUGUACCUCUGUACCUGGGGACCAUUCAUGUUCCUUCAUGGACCAGAUCACAUCUACUGGCGUGGAGACCAGAGGCCAGAUUUAAGAGGUGCUCUCAGCUGACUGUGCAUGUGUCUGUCUGGCAUCCCAGUUAUCAGAAGUCAGAGAAGGAGGACAGAUUCAAACUCUGGUCCAGCCUGAUCAACAGAGUGAGCCCCAGGCUUGCCAGAUCUACAUAGUGAGACCAUUUCUCAAAACACAAAGUGAGAUUAGAUGAACAACCAAACGUUCUCAUAAGAAACUGAAGUAGCAGCGGGCCAUGCUUUUCUUGCAGUCUCCGUGACAUUGGGCUGUAUGUGCCUCAUUAGAUGGGAUUCCAUCCAGUGCGUCCCAGGAACCGCCCUGCCAUCUCACUUAAGAUUCUUAGCAACCUGUCAUCCUGGGUCACAGACGCUCGUUCGCUCACUCCAUCGUGGACCAGCAGCUGUCAGCCAGUGCUGCCCACAGCUGUGUUCUCUGCCUCAUGCUGCUUUGCAGACCAUUGAAAGCAUCUCCCGCUCAGUGAGGUCUGGAUUUGAACCCAGGCCCCAUGCAUGCUAAUGGGGAGUGAAGUGCCACAGCCCAGGGUCUUCUUUUGACAGCCUAGUCCGUCCACCUUGUCCACAAGAUGUCCAGGUUAGGCCUGAGCCUAACCUGCUUCCCUUCCCCUUGCCAACUGCUCUCCAUCUAUGAAUGGUCCCCGGGAAUUAGGAAGAAUGGGGUGGGAGUGGGAUUGGCCACUCCUAGGAGUCUGGUGUUUGUUUCAUCUCCUCUAUAAAUGGUGUAAGAAAGAUGUCCCAGCAAGACGUAGUAGCACACAUCUGGGAUACUAGCACUCAAGAGGUAGAGGCAAGGGUUAUCCUGAGCUACAUAGCCUAUCCAAAACCAGUCUGGGUUACAGGAGACCCUGGUUUUAUUCAUUCAUUCAUUUAUGAUAUUCUCUUUAUCCAGUUCCAACCUAAACUAAAUAAAUUAAAAUUUCAGUUUC
rnacentral:lncRNA from 1 species